AGAACUUAGCAGAGAUGCUUGGUGCCUUCGGGAACUCUGAGACAGGUGCUGCAUGGCUGUCGUCAGCUCGUGUUGUGAAAUGUUGGGUUAAGUCCCGCAACGAGCGCAACCCUUAUCCUUUGUUGCCAGCGGCUCGGCCGGGAACUCAAAGGAGACUGCCGGUGAUAAACCGGAGGAAGGUGGGGAUGACGUCAAGUCAUCAUGGCCCUUACGGCCAGGGCUACACACGUGCUACAAUGGCGCAUACAAAGAGAAGCGACCUCGCGAGAGCAAGCGGACCUCACAAAGUGCGUCGUAGUCCGGAUUGGAGUCUGCAACUCGACUCCAUGAAGUCGGAAUCGCUAGUAAUCGUAGAUCAGAAUGCUACGGUGAAUACGUUCCCGGGCCUUGUACACACCGCCCGUCACACCAUGGGAGUGGGUUGCAAAAGAAGUAGGUAGCUUAACCUUCGGGAGGGCGCUUACCACUUUGUGAUUCAUGACUGGGGUGAAGUCGUAACAAGGUAGGCGUAGCGAG
rnacentral:rRNA from 1 species